CGUGCCUUCUGCACAAACAUCUAUCGUCUUGAAUCCUACACCGCCCCAUGCAAUGUGCUACCCCUGUAUGUGACUACGCCGUAAACAUUGACCCAUUUGACCUGAUCUCGUCGUUGAAAAAGGUGUUCCGACGCUCAAAUCAGUUUCCUUAUUGGAGAGCUCCUUCUCAAACAUCUGGAAGGGGGGACCACCGCCACUCCACAGGUCAACCCCACAGCAGUGAGAUGCUAUGGCAUGGGCAAUGGUUAGGUUCUCCACCCAGGAGUGACGCCCAGCAUUUCCCUUUACUACUUCAAGACCCGUUAGAGGGUCUUCUAAGAACCCAUCUGCAGUCAGAGGACAUGAAUGUGGGGAGGGAGAACAGAUAAAAAAAAACAAUUCAUCUGUUUACAGCCCAUCAAGUAAUCGGUGACAGUAUCCUUAGAGAGGGCGUUCCAAAGAGGCUGGAACCAGCGAACGCAGGAAGGAGAAUUCACAACCAGAUGCGGUACGUUAGGAAGGGAGUUCAGAGGAACGUGUCGUUUCCCACCUUGACCCUCUGCACCCGCCUUGCAGGGAUGUGAGUUCAAGUACAUACGGCAGAAUUCCCCUACUUUGCUACAGCUGAUUUCCACAUGAAAGUUUAGUAUGUUCUCCGGGGAGAGGCCAGUCUAUCCACCAAGGCCCAGAACUGCUCUCCCCGCCACCGCGCCCUGUGUCUGUGGCACCUGAGGGAGACCAGUCCGUCAGGUCUGCAUGUGUAGGGGGCGGAGGGCAACAGAACCAGCACCCGGCCCACAGUGCUGGGUGGCAAAACGUACAGCGAAGCCAAUGGUCGACACCAUGUCACCAUCUACAGGUCGUCCCUAGCUAGUCAGGAGGUCCCCGUCCAUCCAGAGGGCCCCCAGAAAGCAAAUGGCUCUCUGGCCACCCUGUGCCCAAAUGAAAGAAUAUACUACUAAAAUGUAGUUACUUAAAUCCAGUUGAGGGCAUCUUAUCAAGAGAUCAGAAGGCAAUACAGAUACAACCAGGCCCCCUACACACACACACACACACACACACACUCUACCAUCACCCACUGACACAAUCCUGCUUCUGCUGGCAAGUGGGUCCUGGAAAGCCAUCUCUUUCUCCCUUAGAGACCUGAGCUUCAGACACAAAGAGCAACCGAAGGCGGCGAAAGCACACAUCUCAUCGCAGACCGGGAGAUCCCUACUCCUGCUUCAGUCCAUACGUGCCGCACUAAGGACGCCCCAUCGCUCUUGGGCAGCUGGAGCGCGGUCCUGAUAAGGAAUGGUGCUGAGUGCUACCAGUCCAACCCCUCGGCUGCUCUUCCAAAGUGACCUGGGGCUGCCGAUUCUUAGGAUUACCGGUCACCGAGCUCUGUCUGGGCCUCAGUUUUAGUACUUAGCAGCCUUUUACGCUUUCUGGUCUAAUCCUCCCCCCUCCCCCCCACAAAUACAUUAGGAAAAAAACAAAAGAUUAAAGCAAAUCGGGUGCUUGGUAUUUUUUUUUUUUAAACCUUUGUGUAGUUCUCUGAAACACAUUUAUUCAGAAACAACCUACACUAUGAAAUAUGGCAACUGAAAAAUAAAAAUAAAGCGCCAAUAAAGCCCUUGUUUUCCUUUAUCCUCCAUGGUAACUUCCCCUAAUGUCUGUCUCAAACCUGGCUCCUGGGAUGUCCCGAAGCCGUUAGGGGUUGCGGGGUAAGUGGGCACAGUGAGGAGCUAUAAUAACAUAAUGGUUAUUAACUGUUUCCACUGAAGAGUGCAUAGUCGGUUUCACACAAAGAGAGGCAUCAUCUAUCCCUCGUUGAGAACAAAAAAUAUCAUUAAACUGUUAAUGAGCAAUUCCUUUUAGAUCCAGUUCUACAAAGAUUCAAUAGUAAGGCUAUACACAAAAGUAUCAUGAACAUAAAAGGAUUAAGCUUUCUACCCAACAAAAUUUAAGCACAACACUGUGCUCCUGGAAGAGACGUGAGAAGGAGCCCAGUCUGUCCCAAUCCUGAAGGAGAUACCAACCAUUUCCAAGGGUGGGUGAGCCCUGCACUCAGAGUCCAUCGGUAAGGAGGUUAGGAGUUAACUUGGGUUUAAAGUUUAGUCUAACCAUAAAUCAAUGAGUUGAUCUUCUGGUGGGCGAACGGGAAAUCUGUUCUGGAGAUGAUCCCCAGAGAAGUCUCCAGAACGGUUUCUGGGAAUGGCUGAGACCCUGAAACAGGUAUUGUGGGGUUGUAAGGAGUCUAUUCUGAAGGAUCCCCCUUUUUGGGGAGAUGUGCUUG